AGUCGAGCGGAACGAUCCUAGCUUGCUAGGAGGCGUCGAGCGGCGGACGGGUGAGUAAUGCAUAGGAAUCUACCCAGUCGUGGGGGAUAACCUGAGGAAACUCAGGCUAAUACCGCAUACGUCCUACGGGAGAAAGCGGGGGCUCUUCGGACCUCGCGCGAUUGGAUGAGCCUAUGUCGGAUUAGCUUGUUGGUAAGGUAACGGCUUACCAAGGCGACGAUCCGUAGCUGGUCUGAGAGGAUGAUCAGCCACACCGGGACUGAGACACGGCCCGGACUCCUACGGGAGGCAGCAGUGGGGAAUAUUGGACAAUGGGCGAAAGCCUGAUCCAGCCAUGCCGCGUGUGUGAAGAAGGCUUUCGGGUUGUAAAGCACUUUCAGCGAGGAAGAAAGCGUGCCGGCCAAUACCCGGUACGGACGACAUCACUCGCAGAAGAAGCACCGGCUAACUCCGUGCCAGCAGCCGCGGUAAUACGGAGGGUGCAAGCGUUAAUCGGAAUUACUGGGCGUAAAGCGCGCGUAGGCGGCGUGUCACGCCGGGUGUGAAAGCCCCGGGCUCAACCUGGGAACGGCAUCCGGAACGGGCAGGCUAGAGUGCAGGAGAGGAAGGUAGAAUUCCCGGUGUAGCGGUGAAAUGCGUAGAGAUCGGGAGGAAUACCAGUGGCGAAGGCGGCCUUCUGGACUGACACUGACGCUGAGGUGCGAAAGCGUGGGUAGCAAACAGGAUUAGAUACCCUGGUAGUCCACGCCGUAAACGAUGUCGACUAGCCGUUGGGUCCCUUGAGGACUUAGUGGCGCAGU
rnacentral:rRNA from 1 species